AUUGAACGCUGGCGGCAGGCCUAACACAUGCAAGUCGAACGAGUGGCGGACGGGUGAGCAAUGUCUGGGAAACUGCCUGAUGGAGGGGGUUAACUACUGGAAACGGUAGCUAAUACCGCCUACCAUCAGCUGUGCCCAGAUGGGAUUUGCUUGUUGUUGGGGUAACGGCGCACCAAGGCGACGAACCCUUGAUGGGCUGAGAGGAUGACCAGCCACCCUGGAACUGAGACACGGUCCAGACUCCUACGGGAGGCAGCAGUGGGGAAUAUUGCACAAUGGGCGCAAGCCUGAUGCAGCCAUGCCGCGUGUGUGAAGAAGGCCUUCGGGUUGUAAAGUACUUUCAGCGGGGAGGCGUUACCCGCAGAAGAAGCACCGGCUAACUCCGUGCCAGCAGCCGCGGUAAUAC
rnacentral:rRNA from 1 species